CUUCAGUUCUAAACCCACAGGAGUGGGGUGGACAGGUCCUGAGAGCUCUACUUCUAGUUUUUUGGGCACCGCCACACUGUUCCCAUAGCAGAGCACCAGGCUUGCACUCCCUCCCACAGAGGACCAGGGUUCCGGUUCCCUGGUCCCACUAGCACUCCACGUCCUUUGUGGGGUUCUUUCAGAACACAAGGAGACGUGGCGUGGGCCUUGAAGUCUCUGAGGUUCUGAUUCUCCUGCCCUUGCUCACUGGGAAUACUGCCCACCUUAUGCCGGUCGUCUGUCCCCACCAAAUCAACCAGAUCAAGGUGGAAACCACGGCUGUCAAGCUCAAGCCCCGUCAUGGCAAAAACCCUCAGCAAACUAGAGAGAGCAGGAAAUCAACUCAACAUCGUAAAGGCCACGUAUGAAGACCUCACAGCUGAUAUCACACUCAGGGUGGAGGGUUCGUGUAGACCAGGAACAGGGCAGGAGGCCCGCACUCACCACUCCUGCUCAGCCUAGCCCUGGGAGCCCCAGCCAGAGCAGCUAGACAAGAAAAAGAAAGAGAAUGCACUCAAGUAGGAGAAGAAGUGGCAAAAAUAAUCCCACCUGCAUAUGAUGAUCUUAUGUACACAAAACUCUAAAGACUCCAUAAAAAAUCACUUAGAACUAAUAAAUGAACUCAAUAAAGUUGCAGGAUACAAAAAUCAACUUAUAAAUAUCAGUUGCAUUUCUAUACAUUAAUAAUGAGCUUUCUGAAAAGUGAUAGAAAUACAGCCAUUUACAAUAGCAUCAGAAAUAACAAAAUAAUCAGGAACAAACUUAACUAAGAAAGUAAAAGUUCAGCACGUGGAAAACUACAAAAUAUUGAUGAGAUGAAUUUAAAAAGCUACAGAUGCAAAAGCAUCCCAGGUUCAUGGAUUGGGAGAUUUAACGCUGUUGAAACAUUCCCCCCACCAUAGCCAUCUACGGAUUCGAUGCAAUUCCUAUCCAAGUCCCAGUGGCACAGAAAGAGAAAUGAACGAUUCUAAAUUCAUAGAAAACCACAAAAGAACUCAAAGAGAUUAAAAAAAAAAUCUCGGAAAGGAAGAGAAGUAGAGGGACCACAUUUUCUGAUUACAAAGGUCCAGUAAUUAAAUGCCACGGCACUGGGUAGAAACAGACCUAGAGAGCACGGAAGAGCUCGGAGAGCC
rnacentral:lncRNA from 1 species